rnacentral:rRNA from 1 species
GUCUGUUUGAAGGUAUAAAUGGUCUGGCCUGCUCACUGAUAAUAUUAUUUAAGAGCCGCGGUAUAUUGACCGUGCAAAGGUAGCAUAAUCAUUAGGGGUUUAAUUGGAACCUGGUAUGAAGGGUUGGACAAAGGAAAGACUGUCUUUAUAGUGAUAAUUGAAAUUUACUUUUAAGUGAAAAGGCUUAAGUGAUUCAAAGGGACGAUAAGACCCUAUAAAGCUUUAUAAGUUAUUUAAAUUUAAUCGAUUUAAAAGGUAAAAAUUAAAUUUAAUUAUUUUAUUUUGUUGGGGUGAUGUGGAUAUAAUUGUUAUUAACUGUUUAGGAAUAAUACUUUUAUAAGAGAAUAAGAGAAAAAUGAUCCUUUUUAAAGAUUAGAAGACUAAGUUACUUUAGGGAUAACAGCGUUAUUUCUUUUGAGAGUUCAUAUCGAAAAAGAAGAUUGCGACCUCGAUGUUGAAUUAAAAUAUCUGUAUAGUGCAGCCGUUAUAGAAGAAGGUCUGUUCGACCUUUAAAUUUUU